CGUGCUUAACACAUGCAAGUCGAACGGAAAGGCCCUUCGGGGUACUCGAGUGGCGAACGGGUGAGUAACACGUGGGUGAUCUGCCCUGCACUCUGGGAUAAGCCUGGGAAACUGGGUCUAAUACCGGAUAGGACCACACACUUCAUGGUGAGUGGUGCAAAGCUUUUGCGGUGUGGGAUGAGCCCGCGGCCUAUCAGCUUGUUGGUGGGGUAAUGGCCCACCAAGGCGACGACGGGUAGCCGGCCUGAGAGGGUGACCGGCCACACUGGGACUGAGAUACGGCCCAGACUCCUACGGGAGGCAGCAGUGGGGAAUAUUGCACAAUGGGCGCAAGCCUGAUGCAGCGACGCCGCGUGAGGGAUGACGGCCUUCGGGUUGUAAACCUCUUUCAGUAGGGACGAAGCGAAAGUGACGGUACCUACAGAAGAAGGACCGGCCAACUACGUGCCAGCAGCCGCGGUAAUACGUAGGGUCCGAGCGUUGUCCGGAAUUACUGGGCGUAAAGAGCUCGUAGGUGGUUUGUCGCGUUGUUCGUGAAAACUCACAGCUUAACUGUGGGCGUGCGGGCGAUACGGGCAGACUAGAGUACUGCAGGGGAGACUGGAAUUCCUGGUGUAGCGGUGGAAUGCGCAGAUAUCAGGAGGAACACCGGUGGCGAAGGCGGGUCUCUGGGCAGUAACUGACGCUGAGGAGCGAAAGCGUGGGUAGCGAACAGGAUUAGAUACCCUGGUAGUCCACGCCGUAAACGGUGGGUACUAGGUGUGGGUUUCCUUCCUUGGGAUCCGUGCCGUAGCUAACGCAUUAAGUACCCCGCCUGGGGAGUACGGUCGCAAGACUAAAACUCAAAGGAAUUGACGGGGGCCCGCACAAGCGGCGGAGCAUGUGGAUUAAUUCGAUGCAACGCGAAGAACCUUACCUGGGUUUGACAUGCACAGGACGUACCUAGAGAUAGGUAUUCCCUUGUGGCCUGUGUGCAGGUGGUGCAUGGCUGUCGUCAGCUCGUGUCGUGAGAUGUUGGGUUAAGUCCCGCAACGAGCGCAACCCUUGUCCUAUGUUGCCAGCGGGUAAUGCCGGGGACUCGUAGGAGACUGCCGGGGUCAACUCGGAGGAAGGUGGGGAUGACGUCAAGUCAUCAUGCCCCUUAUGUCCAGGGCUUCACACAUGCUACAAUGGCCAGUACAGAGGGCUGCGAAGCCGCAAGGUGGAGCGAAUCCCUUAAAGCUGGUCUCAGUUCGGAUUGGGGUCUGCAACUCGACCCCAUGAAGUCGGAGUCGCUAGUAAUCGCAGAUCAGCAACGCUGCGGUGAAUACGUUCCCGGGCCUUGUACACACCGCCCGUCACGUCAUGAAAGUCGGUAACACCCGAAGCCAGUGGCCUAACCUUUUGGAGGGAGCUGUCGAAGGUGGGAUCGGCGA
rnacentral:rRNA from 1 species